CACACACACACAUAUACGGCAAGAAUCACUUGCCUUUCAUAGGAAAUUAUUUCAUUAAUGAUGUAAACUAGCUAAAUGAUUUUUUUGGUGAAUAGGUAUUCUGGUUUCGACAUUGACUAGAUAGGCUGAAGGACCUGGUUCUGUACUGUACUUUUCUUUGACUAUGCUUAAGUUCAAGCGAAAUUCUGCCCAACUGAUAUUUUCUUUGCUUUAAUGAUGACUAAAUUCUUCCAACAACAGCAUUGAAACUUUUCAUAGAAUUGAACUUCAUGAAAUAUCAAUGAACACUGCUGUGGGAUUUCUCUGAUACAAAUAUAUUGACCACCAAUCCUUUCUGUAUCAUCUUAAAUUAAUGUCAAAUGACAAUUUCAGAAACAUUUUACACAAAGUUAAAUUAAAACAAAAAUUGGUGCAAAUACCUUGCAGGCCAGGCUGGACAUCACAAACAAGAGGGGGUUUUUUUGUACUUUUAAACUGGGUGUUAACAGAAAGUAAGGUUCAGAUCUGAAUUAAUUAAUUUAUUCACCAAAUUUCUGAAAUUCUCCUUCGACUUGCCAUUUUAAACACGGAUUAACAUUACUUUCUGAAAAUGCAAAAUGAUGCAUGUUAUGGCUGUAUGAGUAAAGAAUGGAUUAUCCUUUUUUGUUUGAAAAUAACUUUGCAAUUACACAUAAUUAGGCUCAUUAGAGACUCCAAAAAUAUUUACAGGGUAUUAGGAAAAAAGAGGGGCGUGAAAAUAACUGGACUGAUAGUUCCAGUUGCAAAUUGCUUUCUUCUGUAUUAAAUACUGUUCAGACAUAUCCUAGUAUAUGAAUCGCAGUACAUUAACAGCUAGGUAAGGCAGAGCUAGAUAAUUGUGUGGGCAAAUAGAAAGCUGGCCUUUAACUCUAGAAAUUGUCAGCAGGGGCUAGUUACAAUUCCACAAGGCUUUGUAGAUCACAUCUGAAGUACUUAAUACAAUUUUCACUUUUUUUAAACCUCAGAAAGCGAACAUCUGUCUUGUAGGCAUCAAAAGAUUUAUACAUUGAUUCCAGGGACGAGAAGACUGUUUUAACGAAGAUCAUGCCCUAAAGAUCGUGGAACAUACAGCUUUAUCUGAAAACUUGCACAGGUAUAGCCAACAGUAAACAUCCCCACUUUUAGCCUCACAGAUAGAAUGAAGCAAAUGGAUGAAGCAGCUAAAGACAGCUGGGCCUUGCACACUGCUCUAAGAAACUUCCGCAAUCAUCCUGGGACUGAGAUAACUGACUACCAAGAUGGCUCCUGCAUACAAUGCUCCCAUGGUCGGCAUCUUCUGGAUAAACAAUAAAACCAUUUAUUUCACUUCUUUUAUGUCUUUAACGUCUGUUUUUCAUCUUGAACGUGUUUCUGGAAUUGUUGGAGCCUGUGAUUUGCAAUUUGGAGAUCGUUUGUGUGAUACAAUGCUUUACUGUCUCCAAGAGAAUUCUGGGAGGUAACAAGCGCAGGCCUUGUGGCCAGAAGACUGCAAGGGCACAAGCCAAUGCUUAACUCCAUUUUGCCUAUUAAAGCGAUGAGGGAGAUUGAAACAGCGAGGCGAAUAUGGACAGUGAACGCUGGCUGCCUUCUGAUCGCUGGUGGGAUCGCUCUGCUGCUGCAGACUGUGUGGCCUGCUGAGAACAUUACCGAGGUUUUCUGCAGUUAUGGAUAUGGAUAUGGUUUUUGGACUAUGAACACUUUUUUUCAGUCUUAUGGUUUUUUUUAUAUUCUGUUUUUCUUGGCCAUUCUUUCUCUCUUUUUUGUGUGGAGGAGGGGAAUUUGGAUCUGAUGUUCUUGCGGCAUUUUGUGCAGGGAAGGGGGAGUUGAUGAUCAUGCUAUUGUUCUCUUUUUUCUUGGUUUUGUGGCUAUCUGGAAAAGAAGAAUCUCAGAGUUGUAUGCUGUGGUAAUAAACAAACCUUUGACUCC